rnacentral:rRNA from 1 species
GAUGAACGCUGGCGGCGUGCCUAACACAUGCAAGUCGAACGAGGUAUUUUGAUUGAAGUUUUCGGAUGGAUUUCAAGAUACCGAGUGGCGGACGGGUGAGUAACGCGUGGGUAACCUGCCUCAUACAGGGGGAUAACGGUUAGAACUGACUGCGAAUACCGCAUAAGCGCACAGUACCGCAUGGUACGGUGUGAAAAACUCCGGUGGUAUGAGAUGGACCCGCGUCUGAUUAGCUAGUUGGUGGGGUAACGGCCCACCAAGGCGACGAUCAGUAGCCGACCUGAGAGGGUGAUCGGCCACAUUGGGACUGAGACACGGCCCAGACUCCUACGGGAGGCAGCAGUGGGGGAUAUUGCACAAUGGAGGAAACUCUGAUGCAGCGACGCCGCGUGAGUGAAGAAGUAUUUCGGUAUGUAAAGCUCUAUCAGCAGGGAAGAAAAUGACGGUACCUGACUAAGAAGCCCCGGCUAACUACGUGCCAGCAGCCGCCGUAA